rnacentral:sRNA from 1 species
GGUUUUGAUCAACACUUAGCUCACAAAACUCUCGAAUCAAACGACUUAAACUUUGAGAAUGAAUCGAAACUUUAAAGAGAAUUUAAAGAAACAAAGACACACACGAUUUAACGAGUUCACGUUCCUCAACCGGAAUCGCUACGUCUCGCCGGAGAAUCUCUCCGGAAAUCCACUAGAACCUUUCUUUACAAUGUAUCUUUACAAGUUUUCUCUCUCUAGUUCUCUCUAGAACUUGAUUACAAUUCUCUCUUUUUCUCUAUCUCCGAUCUAACAGAAUUACAGAGAAGAAGAAGAAGAUAUAGUUACAGAGCUCAUGCGAAAAAGACCAAAACACCCUCAAGCUUGUUAUGACCUUAGUCAGCUCGCCUCACGUGUUAUGACUUUAGUCAGCUCGCCUCACGUAAGAAAGUAUAACGCUUAAGGGGACUGAGGGGUUUGUCUUGAGAGGUUCUUGGAUUGUAUAGGAAUCCAUGAACGUUAGAGAUUAGAUAAUUGUUUGAGUGAAACUUGUAAGUUUACUAAACAGAUUUUCUAAUAAAGAAGCUUUUU